rnacentral:lncRNA from 1 species
UUUGAAAGGAUGCUGAGAUAAUACAUUUCUGUGUGGGUUGUUUGUUAAUGUAUGAACUGAGCUACAUAAUUGCCUCAGUUGGUAUAAUGCACAGCAGCCAAGAUGCUCCUGUGUGUUCUGAUUUUGUGUAUGACUAUUGGAACCAAUGCAAAAUGAAAUAGAACAUGAGGCUUUCCUUGAAACCACCAUUAUGGAUAUUAAAUAUUUAGCUAGCAUGACUGUGAAACUAAAAUUUCAAAUUUGAUAAUUUUAAUUAAUACACAUUUAAAUAACUAUGCAGCUUAUGGUUUAAUAUUAACUCAAUUUAAAUAUAUGCAGCAAAUAAUGAAAGCUGUGCUUCAUUUUAUGUAAAAUUCAAUUAAUGUCAGCAGGCUAUGCAAACACAGUAUUUGAAGCAACUGAGAAAUUGAUACUGUGUUCACUCAAUCCCACUGUCUCAGAUUGUAUACUUAUAACUGCUGCCAUAACAAAGCAGUAAUGGCUGUAAUGCUUAAACAAUAGGAAUUUAUUUAUAUGUAAAAUGUAUAGUGUUAUUUAUUGUUCAUUGUAUAUGUGUGUGAGAGAGGGGGCAAUCAAAUAUAUUCAAGAUGUGUGUUUCUGUAUGUGAGUGUGAGUGUGUGUGUGUGUACGCAUGUAUAUGUGAUAUGUGGAGAGAGAGAGAAAGAGAGGGAGGAGAGGAAGAGGGAGGGGGAGGAGAGGAAGAUGGAGGGGGAGAGGGAGAGGGAGAGGGAAAGGGAGAGGGAGAGGGAGAGGGAGAGAGAGAGAGAGAGGGGGAGAGAGAGAGAGAGAGAGAGAGAGAGAUCCCAUGAAUGCCAUGCCAUGGCAUAUACAUGGAGGUUUGACUUCAAUUUCAGGAAAUGGAUAUCUCCACCAUAGAUCCUGACAUUGAACUUACAUCAGCAUGGUUUGUCUUUUACUGCUGAACCAUCUCAUCAACCUAGGUAAAAAGAUAUUCAUCAAAAUUCUUGAAUCUUCAAGCCUAAUGUCAAGGUGUGGACAGAUUUGAUUCUGUCUGAGGCUUUUCACCAUUUGUCAGUAUCUACCUUUCCCUCAUCUUUUCAAUAUGCUUUCGUUUGUGACUGAGAAGCCAUUUGUAAAGAUACCAUUAUGUUAAGUCUCACGCUUAUCUGAUAUUUGUUUUUAUCACGGCAUCUCCAAAUAUAGUUCCAUCAUAAAGUACUCGAGUGGGAUACAGUCCAUCCUGUCACACCAAUAAGACAUGAUGCUUCUGGAGACGCUGCUCCUCUGCCCCUGGGUCAGUGUAUGGUAUUGCCUUCAGAUUUCUGUAUCCAAAACUUUUCUACUUGUGACUUAGUUGCUCUUUACUUCAAUGGGUCAUGUCUAUGGAUCCUCAGUAAUUGUUUUGCAUUUGGAUUGUUCAUUCCAUUCAUGGUUGGUCUACCAUACCUUAUUGCAGUGUGCAUUAUCUUGAAAAAAAUCUAUAUAUUUUGAGGAUAGUCUACAAUUAGUAAAAUCACAUGUAGUUGGAUUUUCUGGUUAUAGAACCUACAUACCAAGUUAGAAAUGUUUGAUAUCCUUUCAGUAUUUUCAUAGUUUAGAAAAAUAUUGCUGUUAUGAAGAAAUAUGUUUAAUGUAUGUUGCCUCACCAUCUUUGAAAGACAUACCAUUUUCUUUAAGUGUUUUAAAAUAUAUUGACGCAUAGUUUUCAAAAGAAUCUAUACCCCAUUUCUUUCCCAAUGUAGGCUACAAAAAGCAAAGUUUUAGGCAUUUUUCUUAGAAUACAUAUCCUCCAGUAUUUUUUUUCUUUAAUAAAUAUUAAGAAAUUCCACUGUAUUCAUUUGGGCAAGAAUACUUCUGACAAAAGUCUUAUCUCAAAUUCUUAAAACAACUAAGAUUUUGAUGGUAGGAAAAUUCAUUUCAGUGUUAAAUGCUACCACACAGGGAAUCUAAUACAAAAGAUUAACUCAAAAUUGAGAGCAUAUUAGAAGUAUUAAUCUGCUUUGAUUAAAUUUCUGCACCUUUAGUGAAAGGUCUAACAUUAAUGACUUUGGAGUCAAUUGUGUUUAUAAGCUCUACCUCCUUCCAAGAGGGAAGGAAGAGGUUAAUUUUGAGCAGAUUCACAACUGAGACAUUCUCCUUUAAAACUUCCACCAAAGAAAAGGAAAUUCAUUUACCUGUCUUUUAUUUUUCAUCUUUUAAUUAGUUUUUCUUGAAAGAGAUCUAUUUGAUAAGCAGCAUUGGUUGAUUUUCAAAGCUAUUCCCUUCUAUCUGCUUUCACAUCAUUUUCCUCCCCCUUCUUCUUGCUAGCAGUGCCUUGAUUUGACUGGAAGAGUUUCUUCAGCACUCUUUCUUCUUUAUGACCUCAAAGGACGUAGCCACUCCUAACCAAGGAGACACAAGUGGAACUUUGUGGGAACUUUUAGGACAUCGUUUAGAAUAUUGCUGGUAGCCUGUGCUUUGCUGUCUUCUUUCUUGUUAGAAACGUAGAUAUCUAUAGGAGCCAUCCCAUAUCCAGGAAUCGGAAAACACAAGGUCAAAAGACACAUCUCUGAGGAGGAAUGCCCUGUUGGUGUGACAAUAUUUGUCUAACCAGCAUUGGCAGUUCUAGCUGAGAUCUGCUUCCUAUGACUGAAAAAUUAACCUCUGUUCAAAUCUCUGUUGGCUUUUUAUUACUUGGCCACAAAUGUAUUUAUAAAAUUUAUAUGUACUCUAGGGCAGGCUUUGCAGAAAUGAUCAUUAUUGGCAAUGUCCAAUGUGGAAUAACUAUUCAUAUUGAGGUUAUAAAACACAUGGCAUUUAUGAUUCUGUGUAUGAUUAAGAAACAGGAUUCUUCAUUUUAUAGCGUUCUAAUUAAUUUAAAUGUGAAGUUAAACAGCAUCUUUGGCUGGUGUCUUAUGAAUCUUGCAGGUAUAAAUCUUAUAGGAAAUAAUUAAUAAAUCUUAUAACAGUUUUAUUAAUGUCACAUUCUCAUGCACAUCCCAUUUUUAAACUUGUCUGACUGGUCUUAAAAUUACAAGUUAUAAUUUUCCUGUCCUAGCCUUUUCUCUUACUUCAAUUAAUAUACCCUGAAACC